rnacentral:SRP_RNA from 2 species
GCUAGGCAUGGUGGUGCAUGCCCGUAGUCCCAGCUACUUGGGGGGCUGAGGUGGGAGGAUCACUUGAGCCCAGGAGGUUGAGGCUGUAGUGAGCUGAGAUCGUGCCACUGCACUCCAGCCUGGGUGACAAAGUGAGACCCUGUCUCAA